GAUGAAGAACGUAGCGAAAUGCGAUAAGUAAUGUGAAUUGCAGAAUUCAGUGAAUCAUCGAAUCUUUGAACGCACAUUGCGCCCGCUAGUAUUCUGGCGGGCAUGCCUGUCCGAGCGUCAUUUCAACCCUCAAGCCCCCGGGCUUGGUGUUGGGGAUCGGCGAGCCUCCGCGCCCGCCGUCCCCUAAAUCUAGUGGCGGUCUCGCUGCAGCCUCCAUUGCGUAGUAGCUAACACCUCGCAACUGGAACGCGGCGCGGCCAAGCCGUUAAACCCCCAACUUCUGAAUGUUGACCUCGGAUCAGGUAGGAAUACCCGCUGAACUUAAGCAUAUCAAUAAGCGGAGGA
rnacentral:misc_RNA from 1 species